UACAGAGGUCUCAAGCGUUGUUCGGAUUCAUUGGGCGUAAAGGGUGCGUAGGUGGCGGGGUAAGUCAGGUGUGAAAUCUCGGAGCUCAACUCCGAAACUGCACUUGAUACUGCCUUGCUCGAGUACUGGAGAGGAGAUUGGAAUUUACGGUGUAGCAGUGAAAUGCGUAGAUAUCGUAAGGAAGACCAGUGGCGAAGGCGAAUCUCUGGACAGUUACUGACACUGAGGCACGAAGGCCAGGGGAGCAAACAGGAUUAGAAACCCCCGUAGUCC
rnacentral:rRNA from 1 species